rnacentral:rRNA from 1 species
UACGUAGGGGGCUAGCGUUGUCCGGAAUCAUUGGGCGUAAAGCGCGCGUAGGCGGCCAGAUAAGUCCGGUGUGAAAGUCACAGGCUCAACCUGUGAAUGCCGCUGGAAACUGUCUGGCUAGAGUCCGGAAGAGGAGAGUGGAAUUCCUGGUGUAGCGGUGAAAUGCGCAGAUAUCAGGAAGAACACCUAUGGCGAAGGCAGCUCUCUGGGACGGUACUGACGCUGAGACGCGAAAGCGUGGGGAGCGAACAGG